UACGUAGGGUGCAAGCGUUAAUCGGAAUUACUGGGCGUAAAGCGUGCGCAGGCGGUUAUGUAAGACAGGUGUGAGAUCCCCGGGCUUAACCUGGGAACUGCAUUUGUGACUGCAUAGCUAGAGUACGGUAGAGGGGGAUGGAAUUCCGCGUGUAGCAGUGAAAUGCGUAGAUAUGCGGAGGAACACCGAUGGCGAAGGCAAUCCCCUGGACCUGUACUGACGCUCAUGCACGAAAGCGUGGGGAGCAAACAGG
rnacentral:rRNA from 1 species